CAGCCGCCGCGGUAAUACGUAGGGUGCAAGCGUUAAUCGGAAUUACUGGGCGUAAAGCGUGCGCAGGCGGUUAUGUAAGACAGUUGUGAAAUCCCCGGGCUCAACCUGGGAACUGCAUCUGUGACUGCAUAGCUAGAGUACGGUAGAGGGGGAUGGAAUUCCGCGUGUAGCAGUGAAAUGCGUAGAUAUGCGGAGGAACACCGAUGGCGAAGGCAAUCCCCUGGACCUGUACUGACGCUCAUGCACGAAAGCGUGGGGAGCAAACAGGAUUAGAUACCCCCGUAGUCCCUGUCUCUUAUAC
rnacentral:rRNA from 1 species